GCGCUGCUAUCAUGCAGUCGAGCGACUGAUUAGAAGCUUGCUUCUAUGACGUUAGCGGCGGACGGGUGAGUAACACGUGGGCAACCUGCCUGUAAGACUGGGAUAACUUCGGGAAACCGAAGCUAAUACCGGAUAGGAUCUUCUCCUUCAUGGGAGAUGAUUGAAAGAUGGUUUCGGUUAUCACUUACAGAUGGGCCCGCGGUGCAUUAGCUAGUUGGUGAGGUAACGGCACACCAAGGCAACGAUGCAUAGCCGACCUGAGAGGGUGAUCGGCCACACUGGGACUGAGACACGGCCCAGACUCCUACGGGAGGCAGCAGUAGGGAAUCUUCCGCAAUGGACGAAAGUCUGACGGAGCAACGCCGCGUGAGUGAUGAAGGCUUUCGGGUCGUAAAACUCUGUUGUUAGGGAAGAACAAGUACAAGAGUAACUGCUUGUACCUUGACGGUACCUAACCAGAAAGCCACGGCUAACUACGUGCCAGCAGCCGCGGUAAUACGUAGGUGGCAAGCGUUAUCCGGAAUUAUUGGGCGUAAAGCGCGCGCAGGCGGUUUCUUAAGUCUGAUGUGAAAGCCCACGGCUCAACCGUGGAGGGUCAUUGGAAACUGGGGAACUUGAGUGCAGAAGAGAAAAGCGGAAUUCCACGUGUAGCGGUGAAAUGCGUAGAGAUGUGGAGGAACACCAGUGGCGAAGGCGGCUUUUUGGUCUGUAACUGACGCUGAGGCGCGAAAACGUGGGGAGCGAACAGGAUUAGAUACCCUGGUAGUCCACGCCGUAAACGAUGAGUGCUAAGUGUUAGAGGGUUUCCGCCCUUUAGUGCUGCAGCUAACGCAUUAAGCACUCCGCCUGG
rnacentral:rRNA from 1 species